UUGCUUAGUUUGAUAAAUGUUGGAGCAGUUUGCUUCAUCAGGAGGGUGAAGUCGCUCAAUUUAAAGUGUUGGAUUUAACUGUGUUGGUGAGGGCGUAGAAAAAGGGGCAUUUUUCUACCAGUAGACAGCGUUUAAGAUUGAGUGUUUCACUGCUAAAUUAAUAAUAUAUUUAUAUUGAAUAUGGAUUUUAAAUAUGUAUCUAAAUAGGUGGUUAAUUGGUUAGGUAUUUAUGUAUUUGCAUAUUGGGUUUUCUGUUGCAUUUAUCUAUUGUGUUUCUGGUGUUAAAUGUAUUUUAUAUGUAUCUUGGUGCAUUUAUGUUGAGACAAUUUAUUUAAAAUCUGUUUUAACUUAAAGGGAAAAGAUGUGUCCAUUUUCUUGCACUUGUUUAAUGGUUAAGAGUUUGAUAGCUAAUUAAUAGUUGUAAAUUAUGGGAUUGAUAAUUGAUUGAUUUUUUACAGCAUGUUAAUCUUGUGGUGUUUUGUCCUUAAAGGUUUUUCACCUACUAAAGAAGCUAAAGGCUACUAAAGGCUACUAAAGACAGCUAAUGACAGCUAAAGAAACUAAAGUCUAUUAACACUGCUAAAGACUGCUAAAAAGACUAAAGAAGAAAAAAUAAGCUGUUUCUUGGUUGGAAAAACUGUUGCAAACUAAAGGAAAAUAAAAGGAAAAAGUAACUACGGUCUGGUCUUUUGAGUGAAAUCCAGAAGCCACAUUCAGCAUUGGUACAUCCCUUCAAGUGUGGGAUAAGCACAGCGAAAAAAGCAAAACACUUGACAGUUGUUGUAUGCACACUGUGUCGAGCGGAAAUGGCCUAUCAUAGCAGCACAACGGCUAGGAAGGAACAUUUGAAAAGAAAACACCCGACAGCGUUCUUGCCAUCACCAUCAACUAGUCAAUCGUCCGCGUACCUUCAGGAUGUACUCAUUCUUGACUGCUGGUCUGGUUGAGAUGGAGGGAGGCAUCCCUCUUGGGAUGGGGAUCAUCUUGGUCACAGUCUUUCUGCUGUGGGCGGCAACAGGCUUGGCUUCUUCCACAAGAAUAGGAAUCAUGGAAAUCAUCCUUUGACCCGGGAAAAUCCCAGUUUGUUUCCUGUACAAUAUCAGUCUGCCUUCGUCCCCGCGUGAUCGAGCUGUGCGCCUCGACUUCCUCUUUGGACUUUUCCACCCUUGAUCCUCGACCCCUGCUUUGCACACGGACCCCUUGACGCCUCUCUCAGCCCCACGGACCUCCCGCUUGUCUCAAGGACCUUCUUCUGCUUAGCCCCUUUGGACUUGUCUGCUUCCUCAUCCAACAAAUAGGUAAUACUCAACAGCUAAUAAUUCAUACACAUAGUCUCCCACCAUACACCCCUUUUGGAUUAGUCACACUCCAU